UACGGAGGGGGCUAGCGUUGUUCGGAAUUACUGGGCGUAAAGCGCGCGUAGGCGGACCUGCAAGUCGGGGGUGAAAGCCCGAGGCUCAACCUCGGAACUGCCUUCGAUACUGCGGGUCUCGAGUCCGGGAGAGGUGAGUGGAAUUCCUAGUGUAGAGGUGAAAUUCGUAGAUAUCAGGAAGAACACCCGUGGCGAAGGCGGCUCUCUGGGACGGUACUGACGCUGAGACGCGAAAGCGUGGGGAGCGAACAGG
rnacentral:rRNA from 1 species